GACGAACGCUGGCGGCGUGCUUAACACAUGCAAGUCGAACGAAGUGGCGAACGGGUGCGUAAUACGUGAGUAACCUGCCCUCCUUUUUGGGAUAAGCCUUGGAAACGGGGUCUAAUACCGACUAAAGGGGUUUGGGCUCGCGGCCUAUCAGCUUGGUGGAGGGGUGAUGGCGUACCAAGGCGGUGACGGGUAGCCGGCCUGGGAGGGUGACCGGCCAAAUGGGGACUGGCACACGGCCCAGACUGCUACGGGAGGCGGGAGUGGGGGAUAAUGGACAAAGGUCGGAAGCAUGAAGCAGCGGCGACGCGAGGAGGAUUAAGGCUUUUGGGUUGCAAACCUCUGUCGCUAUCGAACGGGUAGGUGGAGAAGAAGCGACGGCUAACUACGUGCCAGCAGCCGCGGUAAUAC
rnacentral:rRNA from 1 species